CUCAACAGCGAACUGUGAGUCAUAUUCCGGAGGCAAUGCUAAUAAAUGAGUAAUAGUAUUCGUUUACUAAUGCAUGUAGACUCCGUCGUGUUUCAUCUGUUUACCUUCUUCGAACUUUUCUAGCUUAGGUAGUUCAUGCAAAUAUCUAAGCCAUGUCAAAAAUACAACCUAAUCUUUAGCAUAAAAAGCACAUCUAGAGACGGAAAACUGGCUAAAUAUAAAAUGGCUUUAAUUUUUGUUAUGUGUGUAAUUUACAGAUACGCCGGAUUCUUUAUGGUAAAAUGCUAAAAAGAUAUAAACUCAAAUAGGAUUCUAAGUUUUCCGUUUAUUUUGAGUAUAUAAAAUUUGUGUUUCGUAUUGUCACUUUUUUGAGAUUAUAAAAACUAAAUACGUAUGCGUUCUGCGGUCAAUGGUGUUGUUUUGAUUAAAUAUGUUCAGUUAGCUAGUUGGCAGCAGCAAUAUUUUCAUAUGCUCAAUCAUUGGCGAAUUCGCUUUUUCUCAAACAAGCGAAGUAUAGUUUGGUUUAUUUUUAGGGUUUCGCACGGAUUCAAUAGCUGACUAACAACAAAGUUUGUAUAAGGAGCGCGGCCGAUCCGAAAUAUAGCUAAGUUAACACAUAUUGUUGCAAGUAUUCUCUGCUGUUACACAUACAUAUGCAUUUGCUCUUGCGAGAUGCGCUUUUGAUCCACUUGCAAACACUCUGGAGUCCUUUGCAACUUAUACAUCAGACUCUGGAAAGGAAUUUGGGUUAACAUGGGAACCGACCGCAACUCAGGCAACAAAUAAUGCAAGCACAUAUGAAUCAAGUUGUAUGAAAAAAGUAUAAAAUGAACUCGACGGCAAUAAUUGCAGUAUAUGCUGACAGUCAUCUAUUAGACUGUAGACCUGUAAGCUGUUACAGAGAUGUACAAAAUUACAAUAUUUUCAAAGCCAUAGACAGCGAGAAAAGUGAUUAAAAAUACACCGACGACGAUGACGGAGCCGCAGCCAGG